CCUACGGGAGGCAGCAGUAGGGAAUCUUCCACAAUGGGCGAAAGCCUGAUGCAGCAACGCCGCGUGGGUGAAGAAGGUCCUCGGAUCGUAAAACCCUUUUGUUAGAGAAGAAAGUGCGUGAGAGUAACUGUUCACGUUUCGACGGUAUCUAAACAGAAAGCCACGGCUAACUACGUGCCAACAGCCGCGGUUAUACGGAGGGGGCAAGCGUUAACCGGAUUUAUUGGGCGUAAGGGGAACGCAGGCGGUCUUUCAAGUCCGAUGUGAAAGCCGUCGGCUGAAACGGAGUACUGCAUUGGAAACUGGGAGACUUGAGUGCAGAAGAGGUGAGUGGAAUGCCAGGUGUAGCGGUGAAAUGCGUAGAUAUCUGGAAGAACACCGGUGGCGAAGGCGGCUCUCUGGUCUGUCACUGACGCUGAGGUUCGAAAGCGUGGGUAGCGAACAGGAUUAGAUACCCCUGUAGUC
rnacentral:rRNA from 1 species